GAUGAAGAACGUAGCGAAAUGCGAUAAGUAAUGUGAAUUGCAGAAUUCAGUGAAUCAUCGAAUCUUUGAACGCACCUUGCGCCCUUUGGCCAUUCCGAAGGGCAUGCCUGUUUGAGUAUCAUGAGCACCUCAACUCUUUAUGGUUUUCCAUGAUGAGCUUGGACUCUGGGGGUUUUGCUGGCUCACAGUCGGCUCCUCUAAAAUAAAUCAGCUUACCAGUGUUUGGUGGGUAUCAUGGGUGUGAUAACUAUCUACGCUUGUGGUUUUUCCACCAGGUAACCUUCAGCAGUGGAGGUUCGCUGGAGCUCAUAGACGUCUCUCCUCAGUGAGGACAGCCCUUUGAACGUUUGAUCUCAAAUCAGGUAGGACUACCCGCUGAACUUAAGCAUAUCAAUAAGCGGAGGA
rnacentral:misc_RNA from 1 species